UGGCAAGUCGAGCGAUGAUUAAAGAUAGCUUGCUAUUUUUAUGAAGAGCGGCGAACGGGUGAGUAACGCGUGGGAAAUCUGCCGAGUAGCGGGGGACAACGUUUGGAAACGAACGCUAAUACCGCAUAACAAUGAGAAUCGCAUGAUUCUUAUUUGAAAGAAGCAAUUGCUUCACUACUUGAUGAUCCCGCGUUGUAUUAGCUAGUUGGUAGUGUAAAGGACUACCAAGGCGAUGAUACAUAGCCGACCUGAGAGGGUGAUCGGCCACACUGGGACUGAGACACGGCCCAGACUCCUACGGGAGGCAGCAGUAGGGAAUCUUCGGCAAUGGGGGCAACCCUGACCGAGCAACGCCGCGUGAGUGAAGAAGGUUUUCGGAUCGUAAAACUCUGUUGUUAGAGAAGAACGUUAAGUAGAGUGGAAAAUUACUUAAGUGACGGUAUCUAACCAGAAAGGGACGGCUAACUACGUGCCAGCAGCCGCGGUAAUACGUAGGUCCCAAGCGUUGUCCGGAUUUAUUGGGCGUAAAGCGAGCGCGGGUGGUUUCUUAAGUCUGAUGUAAAAGGCAGUGGCUCAACCAUUGUGUGCAUUGGAAACUGGGAGACUUGAGUGCAGGAGAGGAGAGUGGAAUUCCAUGUGUAGCGGUG
rnacentral:rRNA from 1 species